GGAUUAGAUACCCUGGUAGUCCACGCUGUAAACGCUGUCGACUAGCCGUGGGGCUCAUUUAAGGGUUUCGUGGCGCAGCUAACGCGAUAAGUCGACCGCCUGGGGAGUACGGCCGCAAGGUUAAAACUCAAAGGAAUUGACGGGGGCCCGCACAAGCGGUGGAGCAUGUGGUUUAAUUCGAUGCAACGCGAAGAACCUUACCAGCCCUUGACAUUGAGAGAAUCCCUUGGAGACGAGGGAGUGCCUUCGGGCCUUGAAAACAGGUGCUGCAUGGCUGUCGUCAGCUCGUGCUG
rnacentral:rRNA from 1 species